GACGAACGCUGGCGGCGUGCUUAACACAUGCAAGUCGAGCGGUAAGCCCUUUCGGGGGUACACGAGCGGCGAACGGGUGAGUAACACGUGGGUGACCUGCCCUCAGCUCUGGGAUAAGCCUGGGAAACUGGGUCUAAUACCGGAUAUGACUCCAUGACGCAUGUUGUGGGGUGGAAAGCCUUGUGCGGCUGAGGAUGGGCCCGCGGCCUAUCAGCUUGUUGGUGGGGUGAGGCCUACCAAGGCGACGACGGGUAGCCGGCCUGAGAGGGCGACCGGCCACACUGGGACUGAGACACGGCCCAGACUCCUACGGGAGGCAGCAGUGGGGAAUCUUGCGCAAUGGGCGAAAGCCUGACGCAGCGACGCCGCGUGAGGGAUGACGGCCU
rnacentral:rRNA from 1 species